AACGAACGCUGGCGGCAUGCCUAACACAUGCAAGUCGAACGAGACCUUCGGGUCUAGUGGCGCACGGGUGCGUAACGCGUGGGAACCUGCCCUUAGGUUCGGAAUAACUCCCCGAAAGGGGUGCUAAUACCGGAUAAUGUCUGCGGACCAAAGAUUUAUCGCCUUUGGAUGGGCCCGCGUUGGAUUAGCUAGUUGGUAGUGUAAAAGCCUACCAAGGCGACGAUCCAUAGCUGGUCUGAGAGGAUGAUCAGCCACACUGGGACUGAGACACGGCGCAGACUCCUACGGGAGGCAGCAGUGGGGAAUAUUGGACAAUGGGCGAAAGCCUGAUCCAGCAAUGCCGCGUGAGUGAUGAAGGCCUUAGGGUUGUAAAGCUCUUUUACCCGGGAUGAUAAUGACAGUACCGGGAGAAUAAGCUCCGGCUAACUCCGUG
rnacentral:rRNA from 1 species